rnacentral:rRNA from 1 species
AGCCCAAACCAACAAGCUUGCUUGUUGGGGUUGUAGGACACUCUAUACGGAGUUACAAAAGAACAUGUUAGACGAAUCAUCUGGAAAGAUGAAUCAAAGAAGGUAAUAAUCCUGUAGUCGAAAACAUAUUCUCUCUUGAGUGGAUCCUGAGUACGACGGAGCACGUGAAAUUCCGUCGGAAUCUGGGAGGACCAUCUCCUAAGGCUAAAUACUCUCUAGUGACCGAUAGUGAACCAGUACCGUGAGGGAAAGGUGAAAAGUACCCCGGAAGGGGAGUGAAAGAGAACUUGAAACCGUGUGCUUACAAGUAGUCAGAGCCCGUUAAUGGGUGAUGGCGUGCCUUUUGUAGAAUGAACCGGCGAGUUACGAUCUGAUGCAAGGUUAAGCAGCAAAUGUGGAGCCGCAGCGAAAGCGAGUCUGAAUAGGGCGUUGAGUAUUUGGUCGUAGACCCGAAACCAGGUGAUCUACCCUUGGUCAGGUUGAAGUUCAGGUAACACUGAAUGGAGGACCGAACCGACUUACGUUGAAAAGUGAGCGGAUGAACUGAGGGUAGCGGAGAAAUUCCAAUCGAACUUGGAGAUAGCUGGUUCUCUCCGAAAUAGCUUUAGGGCUAGCCUCAAGUGAUGAUUAUUGGAGGUAGAGCACUGUUUGGACGAGGGGCCCCUCUCGGGUUACCGAAUUCAGACAAACUCCGAAUGCCAAUUAAUUUAACUUGGGAGUCAGAACAUGGGUGAUAAGGUCCGUGUUCGAAAGGGAAACAGCCCAGACCACCAGCUAAGGUCCCAAAAUAUAUGUUAAGUGGAAAAGGAUGUGGCGUUGCCCAGACAACUAGGAUGUUGGCUUAGAAGCAGCCAUCAUUUAAAGAGUGCGUAAUAGCUCACUAGUCGAGUGACACUGCGCCGAAAAUGUACCGGGGCUAAACAUAUUACCGAAGCUGUGGAUUGUCCUUUGGACAAUGGUAGGAGAGCGUUCUAAGGGCGUCGAAGCAUGAUCGCAAGGACAUGUGGAGCGCUUAGAAGUGAGAAUGCCGGUGUGAGUAGCGAAAGACGGGUGAGAAUCCCGUCCACCGAUUGACUAAGGUUUCCAGAGGAAGGCUCGUCCGCUCUGGGUUAGUCGGGUCCUAAGCUGAGGCCGACAGGCGUAGGCGAUGGAUAACAGGUUGAUAUUCCUGUACCACCUAGUAUCGUUUUAAUCGAUGGGGGGACGCAGUAGGAUAGGCGAAGCGUGCUGUUGGAGUGCACGUCCAAGCAGUAAGGCUGAGUGUUAGGCAAAUCCGGCACUCAUAAGGCUGAGCUGUGAUGGGGAGAGGAAAUUGUUUCCUCGAGUCGUUGAUUUCACACUGCCGAGAAAAGCCUCUAGAUAGAUAACAGGUGCCCGUACCGCAAACCGACACAGGUAGUCAAGAUGAGAAUUCUAAGGUGAGCGAGCGAACUCUCGUUAAGGAACUCGGCAAAAUGACCCCGUAACUUCGGGAGAAGGGGUGCUCUUUAGGGUUCACGCCCAGAAGAGCCGCAGUGAAUAGGCCCAAGCGACUGUUUAUCAAAAACACAGGUCUCUGCUAAACCGUAAGGUGAUGUAUAGGGGCUGACGCCUGCCCGGUGCUGGAAGGUUAAGAGGAGUGGUUAGCUUCUGCGAAGCUACGAAUCGAAGCCCCAGUAAACGGCGGCCGUAACUAUAACGGUCCUAAGGUAGCGAAAUUCCUUGUCGGGUAAGUUCCGACCCGCACGAAAGGCGUAACGAUUUGGGCACUGUCUCAACGAGAGACUCGGUGAAAUCAUAGUACCUGUGAAGAUGCAGGUUACCCGCGACAGGACGGAAAGACCCCGUGGAGCUUUACUGUAGCCUGAUAUUGAAAUUCGGCACAGCUUGUACAGGAUAGGUAGGAGCCUUUGAAACGUGAGCGCUAGCUUACGUGGAGGCGUUGGUGGGAUACUACCCUAGCUGUGUUGGCUUUCUAACCCGCACCACUUAUCGUGGUGGGAGACAGUGUCAGGCGGGCAGUUUGACUGGGGCGGUCGCCUCCUAAAAGGUAACGGAGGCGCUCAAAGGUUCCCUCAGAAUGGUUGGAAAUCAUUCAUAGAGUGUAAAGGCAUAAGGGAGCUUGACUGCGAGACCUACAAGUCGAGCAGGGUCGAAAGACGGACUUAGUGAUCCGGUGGUUCCGCAUGGAAGGGCCAUCGCUCAACGGAUAAAAGCUACCCCGGGGAUAACAGGCUUAUCUCCCCCAAGAGUUCACAUCGACGGGGAGGUUUGGCACCUCGAUGUCGGCUCAUCGCAUCCUGGGGCUGUAGUCGGUCCCAAGGGUUGGGCUGUUCGCCCAUUAAAGCGGUACGCGAGCUGGGUUCAGAACGUCGUGAGACAGUUCGGUCCCUAUCCGUCGUGGGCGUAGGAAAUUUGAGAGGAGCUGUCCUUAGUACGAGAGGACCGGGAUGGACAUACCUCUGGUGUACCAGUUGUCGUGCCAACGGCAUAGCUGGGUAGCUAUGUAUGGACGGGAUAAGUGCUGAAAGCAUCUAAGCAUGAAGCCCCCCUCAAGAUGAGAUUUCCCAACUUCGGUUAUAAGAUCCCUCGAAGAUGACGAGGUUAAUAGGUUCGAGGUGGAAGCGUGGUGACACGUGGAGCUGACGAAUACUAAUCGAUCGAAGACUUAAUCAA